rnacentral:misc_RNA from 1 species
GAUGCUGCCGUGUAACAAACGGCUCGUCUGAAAUUCCUGAGUGUACCCUGCUUUGUGGCGUAUCCGGUGUGAUAAAUCUUCACUGGAGUUGAUCCUUUGGAUCGCGUCUCUUGCAAUGGCUCUAUGCUUCAAACCGUCUUAACAAGACAAUCCUCUGACAAUUUGACCUCAAAUCGGGUGGGACUACCCGCUGAACUUAA